rnacentral:rRNA from 1 species
AGUAAUACUUAGGAAUCUGCCCAGUAGUGGGGGAUAGCUCGGGGAAACUCGAAUUAAUACCGCAUACACCCUACGGGGAAAAGGGGGCGCUUGCGCUCUCGCUAUUGGAUGAGCCUAAGUCGGAUUAGCUAGUUGGUGGGGUAAAGGCCUACCAAGGCGACGAUCUGUAGCUGGUCUGAGAGGAUGAUCAGCCACACCGGGACUGAGACACGGCCCGGACUCCUACGGGAGGCAGCAGUGGGGAAUAUUGGACAAUGGGGGCAACCCUGAUCCAGCCAUGCCGCGUGUGUGAAGAAGGCCUUUUGGUUGUAAAGCACUUUAAGCAGUGAAGAAGACCUAACGGUUAAUACCCGUUAGCGAUGACAUUAGCUGCAGAAUAAGCACCGGCUAACUCUGUGCCAGCAGCCGCGGUAAUACAGAGGGUGCAAGCGUUAAUCGGAAUUACUGGGCGUAAAGCGAGCGUAGGUGGCUUGAUAAGUCAGAUGUGAAAUCCCCGGGCUUAACCUGGGAACUGCAUCUGAUACUGUUGGGCUAGAGUAGGUGAGAGGGAGGUAGAAUUUCAGGUGUAGCGGUGAAAUGCGUAGAGAUCUGAAGGAAUACCGAUGGCGAAGGCAGCCUCCUGGCAUCAUACUGACACUGAGGUUCGAAAGCGUGGGUAGCAAACAGGAUUAGAUACCCUGGUAGUCCACGCCGUAAACGAUGUCUACUAGUCGUUGGGGAACUUGAUUCCUUAGUGACGCAGCUAACGCAAUAAGUAGACCGCCUGGGGAGUACGGCCGCAAGGUUAAAACUCAAAUGAAUUGACGGGGGCCCGCACAAGCGGUGGAGCAUGUGGUUUAAUUCGAUGCAACGCGAAGAACCUUACCUGGUCUUGACAUAUCUAGAAUCCUGCAGAGAUGCGGGAGUGCCUUCGGGAAUUAGAAUACAGGUGCUGCAUGGCUGUCGUCAGCUCGUGUCGUGAGAUGUUGGGUUAAGUCCCGCAACGAGCGCAACCCUUUUCCUUAGUUACCAGCGGUUUGGCCGGGGACUCUAAGGAUACUGCCAGUGACAAACUGGAGGAAGGCGGGGACGACGUCAAGUCAUCAUGGCCCUUACGACCAGGGCUACACACGUGCUACAAUGGUAGGUACAGAGGGCAGCUACACAGCGAUGUGAUGCGAAUCUCAAAAAGCCUAUCGUAGUCCAGAUUGGAGUCUGCAACUCGACUCCAUGAAGUAGGAAUCGCUAGUAAUCGCGGAUCAGAAUGCCGC